rnacentral:rRNA from 1 species
GACGAACGCUGGCGGCGUGCUUAACACAUGCAAGUCGAACGCUGAAGCACCAGCUUGCUGGUGUGGAUGAGUGGCGAACGGGUGAGUAAUACGUGAGUAACCUGCCCUUGACUCUGGGAUAAGCCCGGGAAACUGGGUCUAAUACUGGAUGCUACGUGUCACCGCAUGGUGGUGUGUGGAAAGGGUUUACUGGUCUUGGAUGGGCUCACGGCCUAUCAGCUUGUUGGUGAGUUAAUGGCUCACCAAGGCGACGACGGGUAGCCGGCCUGAGAGGGUGACCGGCAACACUGGGCCUGAGACACGGCCCAGACUACGACGGUAGGCAGCAGUGGGGAAUAUUGCACAAUGGGCGAAAGCCUAAUGCAGCAACGCCGCGUGAGGGAUGACGGCCUUCGGGUUGUAAACCUCUUUCAGCAGGGAAGAAGCCACAAGUGACGGUACCUGCAGAAGAAGCGCCGGCUAACUACGUGCCAGCCGCCGCCGUAA